rnacentral:rRNA from 1 species
AUUGAACGCUGGCGGCAGGCCUAACACAUGCAAGUCGAACGCGUGGCGGACGGGUGCGUAAUGUCUGGGAAACUGCCCGAUGGAGGGGGAUAACUACUGGAAACGGUAGCUAAUACCGCAUACCAUCGGAUGUGCCCAGAUGGGAUUAGCUUGUAGGUGAGGUAACGGCACACCUAGGCGACGAUCCCUCGCUGGUCUGAGAGGAUGACCCGGCACACUGGAACGUAGACACGGUCCAGACUCCGACGGGAGGCAGGAGGGGGGAAUAUUGCACAAUGGGCGCAAGCCUGAUGCAGCCAUGCCGCGUGUAUGAAGAAGGCCUUCGGGUUGUAAAGUACUUUCAGCGGGGAGGCGUUACCCGCAGAAGAAGCACCGGCUAACUCCGUGCCAGCAGCCGCGGUAAUAC